UACGGGGGGGGCAAGCGUUGUUCGGAAUUACUGGGCGUAAAGGGUUCGUAGGUGGCCAACUAAGUCAUACGUGAAAUCCCUCAGCUUAACUGGGGAACUGCGUCUGAUACUGGUUGGCUUGAGUGCAGGAGAGGAACGCGGAAUUCCAGGUGUAGCGGUGAAAUGCGUAGAUAUCUGGAGGAACACCGGUGGCGAAGGCGGCGUUCUGGACCGACACUGACGCUGAGGCGCGAAAGCGUGGGGAGCAAACAGG
rnacentral:rRNA from 1 species